rnacentral:rRNA from 1 species
AAUGGCCGCAGUACUUUGACUGUGCAAAGGUAGCAUAAUCACUUGCUUCUUAAUUAGGAGCUGGAAUGAAAGAGGCGACGAAAUCUAGACUAUUUAGAUUUUAAAAGAAAUUGACACACACGUCAAAAGGCUUGUAUAAACCARAGGGACGAUAAGACCCUAUAAAACUUUACUUUUUGUGUGGCUUUUAACAGAAUACUUUUACACUAAAGAGUUUAACUGGGGCGGUAUUUAUAAAAACAAUUAAAUAUUUAAUAUAUUAAAUAAUAUAGUAGAACUCUUAGAGAAAUAGAACAAGUUACUUUAGGGAUAACAGCGUAAUUCUCCCAGAGAGUCCUAAUUGGCGGGGGAGCUUACGACCUCGAUGUUGAAUUGGG